rnacentral:rRNA from 1 species
UACCUGGUUGAUCCUGCCAGUAGUCAUAUGCUUGUCUUAAACGAUUAAGCCAUGCAUGUCUAAGUAUAAGCAUUUAUACCGCGAGACUGCGAACGGCUCAUUAAAACAGUUAUGGUUUAUUUGAUGGUUCCUUUGCUACUUGGAUAACCGUAGUAAUUCUAGAGCUAAUACAUGCACGAAGGGGCGACUUACGAAGCCCUGUAUUUAUUAGAUUAAAGCCAACCGCCUCCGGGUGCUCGUGGUGAAUCAUAGUAACUAAUCGGAUCGCCGGCUCUAUGCCAGCGACGUGUCAUUCAAAUUUCUGCCCUAUCAGCUUUAGAUGGUAGGAUAUGGGCCUACCAUGGCGGUGACGGGUAACGGAGAAUUAGGGUUCGAUUCCGGAGAGGGAGCCUGAGAAACGGCUACCACUUCUAAGGAAGGCAGCAGGCGCGCAAAUUACCCAAUCCUGACUCAGGGAGGUAGUGACAAGAAAUAACAAUAAACCGGCUUAUGCCGGUUUAAUUGGAAUGAGUACAAUUUAAACAUCUUAACGAGGAACAAUUGGAGGGCAAGUCUGGUGCCAGCAGCCGCGGUAAUUCCAGCUCCAAUAGC